rnacentral:rRNA from 1 species
UGGGGAAUAUUGCACAAUGGAGGGAACUCUGAUGCAGCGACGCCGCGUGAGUGAAGAAGGUCUUCGGAUCGUAAAACUCUGUCCUUGGUGAAGAAACUGACGGUAGCCAAGGAGGAAGCCCCGGCUAACUACGUGCCAGCAGCCGCGGUAAUACGUAGGGGGCGAGCGUUGUCCGGAUUUACUGGGCGUAAAGGGUGAGUAGGCGGUUAUGUAUGUCAGGUGUAAAAGGCGUAGGCUUAACUUACGUUAGCACUUGAAACUGCAUAACUUGAGUGCAGGUGAGGUAAGCGGAAUUCCUAGUGUAGCGGUGAAAUGCGUAGAUAUUAGGAGGAACACCAGUGGCGAAGGCGGCUUACUGGACUGUAACUGACGCUGAGUCACGAAAGCGUGGGUAGCAAACAGG